UGAUGUUUCGAGAAAGUGUCACAUUAAUCAGAACAACAACAACAACAACAGUGACAUACUUCAACAUGAACAACAACAACGACCACCCUGGACAUUGUUGGUGGACAGAGGAACGUUUCAUGUCGCCCUUUGGGAGAGAAAUGAGGUCUUCAACAGGGAUCUCCGUCGUUUAAAACCAUCAGAACUGAGAAAUACUACAACAGGAUUUAUAAAUACAACGACAAUCAACUCGUGUGUGGUGGUCAUUAUUAGAGACAUAACUCAAGAAGAGAGAGACAAGAAAUACCAAAGAAUAUGGAAGAACAACAAGGAUUACUAUCUUUGCAAAGACCCCGACAUCUUUGACCCUUAUUAUGUGGAUGUGGUUGAUAUCAAAGAUGGGAAAUGUAAAGAUGAAGUGUGUCGUGGGGAGAUGAGGAGAUCGGGAAGGAUGGAGAGAGAAGAAGGGCGUUGUGUAGGGAAAGAGAGU